rnacentral:rRNA from 1 species
GAUGAACGCUGGCGGCGUGCUUAACACAUGCAAGUCGAACGGGAUCCAAGGGGUGCUUGCACUUUUUGGUGAGAGUGGCGAACGGGUGAGUAACACGUGAGUAACCUGUCCUUUUCUUUGGGAUAAGCAUUCGAAAGGGUGUUUAAUACCUUAUGUUCUGUCUGCCUCGCAUGGGGUGGGUGGGAAAGGCUUUGGCCGGAUUUGGGUGGGCUGGCGGUGUAUCAGCUUGUGGGGGGGGUGAGGGCUUACCAAGGCUUUGAGGGGUAGCCGGUCUGGGGGGGUGGUCGAUCACAGUGAGGCUGAGAAACGGCCCAGACUCCUGCGGUGGGCAACAUUGGGGGAAAUUGCACAAUGGGCGAAAGCCUGAUGCAGCGAGGCCGCGUGGGGGAUGAAGGCUUUCGGGUUGUUAUCUUCUUUUACUCUGAGCAAGGCAUGCCAGUGGUUGUGUUGAGUGUAGGGGUUGAUUAGCGCCGGCUAACUACGUG